UGGAUACUUAGGUUGAUUCUACAUUUUUGCUAUUGUGAAUAGUGCUGCAGUAAAUAUGGGAGUGCAGAUAUCUCUGGUAUACUGGUUUCCUUUCUUUUGGAUAGAUACCCAGUAGCAGGAUUCCUGGAUCAUAUGGUGGCUCUAUUUUUAGCUUUCUGAGGAACCUCCACACUGUUUUCCAUAGUGGUUAUACUAAUUUAUAUUUUCACCUAUGUGUACAAGCUUGCCCUUUCUUCAUGGCCUCAAGCAUGUUAUUUUCUGUCUUUUUGAUCAUAGCCAUUUUAACUGGAGUGAGAUGAUAUCUCAUUGUGGUUUUGAUCUGCAUUUCCAUGCUAAUUAGUGAUGUUGUGUUCCUUUGAUAUAUCCCCAUCAUUGAGACUUUUCUUUUGAGCACUUGCUUAUUUCCUGGCAUAAUAAGAUGUUCCAGGCUCAUCUUGUAUAUUUUCUGCUCCAGUGCUAGAAUCAGCCAUUUCUCCAAUGAGCUUUUGGGAGAUAUUUGCUUUCUUGAUUACAGUUAGGAUUUUCUCAUAAGGGAAGUUUGUUGAUGGCCUGCAAACAAAUAGUAAAAUAGUAUGUGAUGUCAUGAAAAUUAAUUGUAUUUUUCCUUCUAGAUUUUGCAUAUAGAAGACGGUAAUUUUAAAAACAGUGAAAGAAGAAAUGUAUCUGAGAAUUCAAUCAGUCAAUAGACUUUAGACAUCUGAAAAGAAAACACAAGAGGUUCGGUUGGUGCAAUGUUCCUUUCUUCCCAGGACUUUCUGGUCUUCAAGGCUUUCUCAUGAGACAGAAGACUGAUGGAUGUAGAAGUUUCUAAGAGGACAGUUACGCUGCCAUGUUUUGAAGCAGGAAGACGUUACCACUUCUCAAAGGUCUUUAAUUGCCUGACCACUGCUUCUCUUUGGAAGGCUGUCAGGGUGAUGGAAUCUCAGAUCACAGCACAGAUAAAAUGGACAAAGAAAGAAAGAUACAAGAAGGAUGUAAAAAUGUCCAUAAUGAACUCAUGUAUCUUGCGGAAACCUCUAAUCUAAUGAGAAUGGAUUUUGUUGAGAAGAUUGUACACCAACAAUUAAUUAUUCAUGGCAGAGACAUCAUUAAGAUUUCAUUUUGUUUAAAGGCCUCUAAGUGACUUAGGAAAUUAGGUUAAGCUAGAGAAGAAUUUCAAGAAAGAGACAAGGGAAAGCUUUUCGUUAUAUUGACUUUUUCUAAUAUUUUCCAGAUAGAUAUUUUGACUUGGUACAUAAAUUAUACUCUGACUAAAAAUCUCCAAUGAUUUGUCUGAGUAAGAGUCUUCACAUGGGUGGAUCAUAUACCAGUGUGGUCAGAUGGAAGCAGAUGGACAGAGAUUUGUGAAAGGAUUAGGAGGUUCAUUCCAGAAUUCUAUAAUAAUUCAAUUUGGCUUUUUGGUUAGGAAUGUAGUGAGGAGUCUCCUUGAAAUGACAAUGGGAUUUGUGCAACCUGUGACAUUUUGCACUCAAGGAUCCUUUUCCCAGUGCCCUAUGGGAUGUGAGCACCUGUUCACUUACAGUACAUGUAAGAUAAGACACUUUUAAUAAAAACUCUGGAGACCUGGUGUAGUAUAGGCCCUAUGCCUGCUUAUCUUAAAGACAAACACCAGAAACUGGUGUCACGUUGUGAGUUCAAUGUGAGAUUGAUUCAAAACAUAAAGCUAGAGAUCUAGUGUAAAUUUUCAGAGGGAUAUUGAUUACAGGAUCAAUUUCUAUGGGCAAUUAAUGCAGGGGUUUGGUUUAUGUUUGAAUUCCAAGCACCCAGUGGUAUUCAAAAAUAGCAUCCAAUUUUACAUAAAAUGUAAAAUUACAUUUUGUGUUCGAUUUGGGCACCCUGUCAUGAUUUACAAUAAAGGUUUGGGCUUUUGUUUUCUUGUUCCUUCAUUAGAAAGGUUAGAACUUGCCUUUCCUCCAUGAUCACUAUUCCAGUGUCCCGGGUGCUUGGGAUUCAAAACUAAACUAAAAUUUCUUAGUGGUUGAGAAAUGUUAAGGUUGAAAUAGUAGAUCAGGCCAUGUCUGCAUGGAGAACAUCACAGCAACUGAGAACUGCAAUAGAAGAGGCUUGGUAAAGGGAGAAUCUCUUCCCUGUUUGUGAAUUAAAUAGUCCUGUAACACCUUUAGGGUAAUAAAGAAUUAGGGUUGGCGCCCUGCACCUACACGGCUAGAGUUGGGGAGAAAAUAGACCUCCAGAUGUGGAGCCAGGAAGACCUGGGUUGAGUUUUUAGCUGUGUCCUGGGCCAACAACCACAGCAGCAGCAACACCCACCACAUGCACCGGUCUCCAUCUGCCUCAAAGAACUACACACUGUAGUAGAGGGAAAGAGUCAAUAAUCAAUAAAUGCACCAAAUAAGUAAAUUAUGUAAAUUUAUAUAAAAGAGUCAAUAAAUAGUAAGUGCAAAAAAUAAGUAAAUAAGUACAUCUAUUAUGGUAAAAAGUGAUCAUUGCUAUAGAAAAAAAUAGAGGUGUGCCUAAUAAUUUAUUUAUGAAAAUCUGCUUUAACAUUUUUCGGAAAGCUGUCUCCUGGAAAAACAAGUAGUCUCUUAACUUUAUACAUUUCCAGGACAAAAUAUUAUAACCACUGCUUAACUGAUGGUGAUAUCAAGUCAAAAUGUAUGCAGCUUUUAUACAAUGGCAGCUCUAAUUUCCAGCAGCACAGAAAUUCUCCCAGUGAUUCCCUUAUUUUAAUAUCACAGCUAACCACCUAUUUAUGUGUUUCUUUAUCUCAGCCUCUCUGUACCUCUGUGUUACGUGGAGAGACGAGAUGGCAUGUUGUUUAUGUAGCUUGAUACAUACCAUAGCCAGAAUUCCAGAACACAGUUUACAUACUUUACAGUUAAAUGUUUAGGCCUCAAGAACAGGAAUCAAAUACUUUGCUUUCAACACUGCUUCCUUCAUGAGAAGGAGAAAUCUCAUCCCUGAGGGUGGCUCCAGGGCCCUGGCCCCAGUAAAACACAAGCCCUGGAACAAAGCAGAGGCCUGGGUAGAAGGAAUUGUUUGCUCUGUUAGCUUAGCUUGAGGCCAAAUAGAGGGAAUUUGUUUUCAAGCCAGACAGGUGCACUUGAGGGUACAGAAAGGAGACUGGCAUUUGGGAUUGAGCCUCAGGAUGGGUCCAUCUUGACCUGUUUUUUUUUUUUUUUCAACUGAUUAGUCAAUCAUGGCUUGUUGCUUCUUAAGUCCUAAGAAUUUUAGAAUUCAGGCAGCCAGUAAUGGUUUACAAUAAAGACUUGGCACUUUGGGAGGCCGAGGCAGGUGGAUCACCUGAGGUCAGCAGUUUGAGACUAGCCUGGCCAAGAUGGGGAAACCUCAUCUCUACUAAAAAUAAAAAAAAUUAGCGGGG
rnacentral:lncRNA from 1 species